GACGAACGCUGGCGGCGUGCUUAACACAUGCAAGUCGAACGGAAAGGCCCUGCUUUUGUGGGGUGCUCGAGUGGCGAACGGGUGAGUAACACGUGAGUAACCUGCCCUUGACUUUGGGAUAACUUCAGGAAACUGGGGCUAAUACCGGAUAGGAGCUCCUGCUGCAUGGUGGGGGUUGGAAAGUUUCGGCGGUUGGGGAUGGACUCGCGGCUUAUCAGCUGGUUGGUGGGGUAGUGGCUGACCAAGGCUUUGACGGGUAGCCGGCCUGAGAGGGUGACCGGCCACAUGGGGACUGCGGUACGGCCCAGACGCCAACGGGAGGCAGCAGUGGGGAAUAUUGCACAGUGGGCGGAAGCCUGAUGCAGCAGCGCCGCGUGCGGGAUGACGGCCUUCGGGUUGUAAACCGCUUUCGCCUGUGACGAAGCGUGAGUGACGGUAAUGGGUAAAGAAGCACCGGCUAACUACGUG
rnacentral:rRNA from 1 species